rnacentral:rRNA from 1 species
GCUGGGGCGUGCCUUAUAAUGCAAGUCGAGCGGACAGAUGGGAGCUUGCUCCCUGAUGUUAGCGGCGGACGGGUGAGUAACACGUGGGUAACCUGCCUGUAAGACUGGGAUAACUCCGGGAAACCGGGGCUAAUACCGGAUGGUUGUUUGAACCGCAUGGUUCAGACAUAAAAGGUGGCUUCGGCUACCACUUACAGAUGGACCCGCGGCGCAUUAGCUAGUUGGUGAGGUAACGGCUCACCAAGGCAACGAUGCGUAGCCGACCUGAGAGGGUGAUCGGCCACACUGGGACUGAGACACGGCCCAGACUCCUACGGGAGGCAGCAGUAGGGAAUCUUCCGCAAUGGACGAAAGUCUGACGGAGCAACGCCGCGUGAGUGAUGAAGGUUUUCGGAUCGUAAAGCUCUGUUGUUAGGGAAGAACAAGUGCCGUUCAAAUAGGGCGGCACCUUGACGGUACCUAACCAGAAAGCCACGGCUAACUACGUGCCAGCAGCCGCGGUAAUACGUAGGUGGCAAGCGUUGUCCGGAAUUAUUGGGCGUAAAGGGCUCGCAGGCGGUUUCUUAAGUCUGAUGUGAAAGCCCCCGGCUCAACCGGGGAGGGUCAUUGGAAACUGGGGAACUUGAGUGCAGAAGAGGAGAGUGGAAUUCCACGUGUAGCGGUGAAAUGCGUAGAGAUGUGGAGGAACACCAGUGGCGAAGGCGACUCUCUGGUCUGUAACUGACGCUGAGGAGCGAAAGCGUGGGGAGCGAACAGGAUUAGAUACCCUGGUAGUCCACGCCGUACACGAUGAGUGCUAA